GUCCUAGCCGUAAACGAUGGGCACUGGAUAGGAGGCGGACCUAUGCCGUUUCCUGUCGGAGCAAAUGUGUUAAGUGCCCCGCCUGGGGAGUAUGCUCGCAAGGGUAAAACUCAAAGGAAUUGACGGGGGGCUCACACAAGCGGUGGAGCAUGUGGUUCAAUUCGAGGCAACGCGAAGAACCUUACCAGGGUUUGACAUGCACGGAUUAGCCCGAUGAAAGUUGGGUAACAGCCGAAAGGUUGGAACGUGCACAGGUGUUGCAUGGCUGUCGU
rnacentral:rRNA from 1 species